AUUGAACGCUGGCGGCAGGCCUAACACAUGCUAGUCGAACGGUAACAGGAAGAAGCUUGCUUCUUUGCUGACGAGUGGCGGACGGGUGAGUAAUGUCUGGGAAACUGCCUGAUGGAGGGGGAUAACUACUGGAAACGGUAGCUAAUACCGCAUAACGUCGCAAGACCAAAGAGGGGGACCUUCGGGCCUCUUGCCAUCGGAUGUGCCCAGAUGGGAUUAGCUUGUUGGUGGGGUAACGGCUCACCAAGGCGACGAUCCCUAGCUGGUCUGAGAGGAUGACCAGCCACACUGGAACUGAGACACGGUCCAGACUCCUACGGGAGGCAGCAGUGGGGAAUAUUGCACAAUGGGCGCAAGCCUGAUGCAGCCAUGCCGCGUGUAUGAAGAAGGCCUUCGGGUUGUAAAGUACUUUCAGCGGGGAGGAAGGGAGUAAAGUUAAUACCUUUGCUCAUUGACGUUACCCGCAGAAGAAGCACCGGCUAACUCCGUGCCAGCAGCCGCGGUAAUACGGAGGGUGCAAGCGUUAAUCGGAAUUACUGGGCGUAAAGCGCACGCAGGCGGUUUGUUAAGUCAGAUGUGAAAUCCCCGGGCUCAACCUGGGAACUGCAUCUGAUACUGGCCAAGCUUGAGUCUCGUAGAGGGGGGUAGAAUUCCAGGUGUAGCGGUGAAAUGCGUAGAGAUCUGGAGGAAUACCGGUGGCGAAGGCGGCCCCCUGGACGAAGACUGACGCUCAGGUGCGAAAGCGUGGGGAGCAAACAGGAUUAGAUACCCUGGUAGUCCACGCCGUAAACGAUGUCGACUUGGAGGUUGUGCCCUUGAGGCGUGGCUUCCGGAGUUAACGCGUUAAGUCGACCGCCUGGGGAGUACGGCCGCAAGGUUAAAACUCAAAUGAAUUGACGGGGGCCCGCACAAGCGGUGGAGCAUGUGGUUUAAUUCGAUGCAACGCGAAGAACCUUACCUGGUCUUGACAUCCACGGAAGUUUUCAGAGAUGAGAAUGUGCCUUCGGGAACCGUGAGACAGGUGCUGCAUGGCUGUCGUCAGCUCGUGUUGUGAAAUGUUGGGUUAAGUCCCGCAACGAGCGCAACCCUUAUCCUUUGUUGCCAGCGGUCCGGCCGGGAACUCAAAGGAGACUGCCAGUGAUAAACUGGAGGAAGGUGGGGAUGACGUCAAGUCAUCAUGGCCCUUACGACCAGGGCUACACACGUGCUACAAUGGCGCAUACAAAGAGAAGCGACCUCGCGAGAGCAAGCGGACCUCAUAAAGUGCGUCGUAGUCCGGAUUGGAGUCUGCAACUCGACUCCAUGAAGUCGGAAUCGCUAGUAAUCGUGGAUCAGAAUGCCACGGUGAAUACGUUCCCGGGCCUUGUACACACCGCCCGUCACACCAUGGGAGUGGGUUGCAAAAGAAGUAGGUAGCUUAACCUUCGGGAGGGCGCUUACCACUUUGUGAUU
rnacentral:rRNA from 1 species